rnacentral:rRNA from 1 species
UACGGAGGGUGCGAGCGUUGUCCGGAAUCAUUGGGCGUAAAGAGCUCGUAGGCGGCUUGUUGCGUCGUCCCGUGAAAACCUGGGGCUCAACUCCAGGCUUGCGGUCGAUACGGGCAGGCUAGAGUUCGGUAGGGGAGACUGGAAUUCCUGGUGUGACGGUGGAAAUGCGCAGAUAUCAGGAGGAACACCGGUGGCGAAGGCGGGUCUCUGGGCCGGAUACUGACACUGAGGAGCGAAAGCGUGGGGAGCGAACAGG